rnacentral:lncRNA from 1 species
UUUUAGCUUUUGUCUGAAAUAGUCAUUUAAAGUCCAGCCGAGCUGCCAUCUCUUCAAGGAAGUUUUCCCUGAAGCCCUCAGGUAGACCCGUUUUUCCAUGGCGGCCACAUCAGCAUGCAGCACAUUUAAUUGGAAGUCUCCACAUAUGAGUUGGUUUUCCUUACUUAAAAUAUGCUUAUCAUCCCUUGGAGCACUUGAAAAUAUUGGCUAUUUCCUUCUGACCCCCAUGGUUUCUUUUAAAAAAUUUGCUGUUGUUUGAAUUAUUUUUCUCUACAGGUAUUGACUGCUGCCUCAUGAAGGCUGGUCCUGUCUCUAUAGUGAAUAUUGUGCACCUCAGGGUAGAAUGGAGAGCAGAAGACUUCAAAUCAGGCAGUCUGGGUUCAGACCCCAAUUCUAGUGCUAAAUAGCUACGUGACUUUAGGCCGAUUGUGUGUGACUUCCCUGAGCCCCAGUCUCUUUGCCUGCAAAAUGAGAAAAAUUAUAACAAUGUCAUCGGUUGUUCUGAGGAUUCUGAGAGGAAUUAGUAGGAGAGAGAACUAAGAAGCUGCGGGCCUCUACAGAGCCAUUCAACUGGCAUUUCGGAAGAUGUUGCCCAUCAGAGUCAGACCUUCUUAGCAUCUUCCGGCUGGGCCCAAACUUCCCAAGACCAUUUGGACAAGGUCAUCUCUAUCCCACCAUGGCCUCCUCCCAGAGGAGGAGAAGAAUCAUGCUGUUACAGCAGAACCGAAGAUUUGGGCAAGGGAGCUAAUGAUUAUGUUCUGCGUCAGGUCAGAGAUGGGCUGGGAAAGCCACUCCAAAGCCAAGACAAGCAGUUUCCUGGAAAAAGAAGGCUGCGCGGAGCCCAGAGUGGCCUGGAUCCUGCCUCAUUUCCUGGACCAGCUCCUUAGGUGGUUACUGGAUUGCCAAUAAAGCAGAGCUUAUUAAAGUCAACGAGCUCAGGCUUCAUCGCCGCCAUGGUAUCCAAGCACCAGUCUGUCUGGGAUUUCAUUUGCCAGAUGGACAAAGGAGAGGUUGUUCCAAUACAUAUCCUGAGUGGUGGGGGUGGGGAGAGAAGGGGAAGAAUGCUCUCUAGAGAAUUCUCUUUGUCCUCUGAAGUAAAUAGAGAUCAUGUCUUCCCCAGCCACACUCAGUGAUCUGAAUCUCUUGGACUGUGGAUUUUUCCUUUACCUGCUGUGAAGCCUUGAAAAGUAUGAAUUAGCUUGAUAAUGAUCCUCUAAAGAUGUUCAAGAGUUAAAGACGUGUUUAAGUUCUUCAGGCAAUCCAAUAUGACUACGGGUUUCCAAAAAUUUGAAGGAAACUGAAAAUCAUAGUUCCCAAACCAGAUAUUUUCCGGUGUCCAGAUGUUCACUGGCAUGCAAACCAAAUGUCUGGAUUAUGAGCUCCUUUUUUCAUUUCUUUUUAUCAGCUUACAUCCAGAUGUUGGAUCCAACUGGUCAGAGGCCUGGGGCAGAGACAGAAAUCAAAUCUAGGGUGUUCAUCUAGAGUCUCCUGCUCCUCCAUUCCUGCUUCCUCCUCACGCUGCCCCCACAUCCUCCCCAACUCACCUUCAUGCUACAUCUCGGCAAAUACAGCUCAUAUCCAGGCACGGUGCAGCCCUUGACAGCUGGGUCCGCAAAGGCAGAUCGGGUAUAUCUUUAAAGAAAAGUUAUCUUAACCAUUGAGAAGCCUUCCUUCCUCAGAGGAGAGCACCUCCCCAGCAGACCUCCGAGGAGACCAAGGGCAGGACAGGAAGGGUGAAAGGAAGUUUCAGGACUGCAGGAAAUAAGAGCUUGGAGGUCAAGGGAGAGAUCAGAUAAAACAUGAAUCUGAUCAGCAUCCUAGUGGUCUAGAGUGGAGACAAUCUGCGGAGUCAACCUCAGUAAGGACACACAUAGAGAAGAACCAAAGCCUCUAAAGACGAAGCUGAGAAGUGUACGGUCGUAGAAGACUCGUGUCUGUUAUUCUUAAAAGCUCAAGGAGAUGUUCUGCCAAUUGAAUGGAAACUGUCCAUAGUGGGGAGCAGAGAGCCUCAUCUUUUCUGGAACUGAACAUCCAUCCUUAAGGCCAGAUUUCUCCCAUCACCAACUUUAACUCCUGCCCUAGCCCUCUCUCUUCCUUUUCAAAACCCUCUCCACCCAGGAAGGGAGAUUCUGGAGCCAAGACUGUACCAGCCACACCUCCCCAGAGUUGUUAAGGAAGGAACUCGAAGCCAGGGGUGGUCUUCUGGCAAGCACCCCCACUACCAGUAGCAGGACAGAUGUGUUUCUAAUGGACUACACUAUCCCCGGAGGUCACAUGAUUCAGGCUGCCAAGGGUACCUGCCCUUGGGAAAUCAACUCCCGAAGAUAAAUUGGGAUUGGGUCCUGAGAAGAUCCAUGGAAGCCCAGAGGACCCUGCCUCUCUCUGUUGCUUCAUGCUGUAGAGGCAGUACUGGGGAGGGCCUGCCCCACAUCCGGCAGGGCAGCUGGAACCAUGUGUUUGAUGACACUCUGCUCCCUCAAUGUGGAGCCUCAUCCUCAUCUCACAGUCUAGCAGGCCUCUGGUGGGUUAGGCUUGUCUCACCCAGUGUGUGAGUUUUUUUGGAAGUGACCUGAUUUUGGAGUUUCCCUCCAAGCCUUUCUCAGGUACAUGCUUUCUCUUUUAUUCUGUCUUCUUUUUUUGAUCUUCUUAAAUCUGAUUUUCUCCUUUUUCCCUCUCUUGUCUCCAUCUUUUUUCCAGUCUCUCGCUUCUCUUUAUUUCUCCCCAUAUUUCACUCUGUUCUCUCACCCCAACCUUUCCCUUCUGUUUCUCUCCCUCCCUCUCUUCCCACCCCCUGCCUGGCCUUCCAUAUAUCAAGCAGAGUUUUAUCACCUUAUGCAGGGGCAGCCCUGCCACCUGCCAUAAAGUUGAUAGGCUAAUGACAUUUUGUGGAUAUUGCCAUGUCACAAGUCCAGGACAGCAUCAAAAAUAGCCCUGAUGUCUAAACCACUUCAGCUAUCUUUUUUAUUUUUAAAAUAAAUACAUUCACAUGCUUUUAAGAAACUAUAAAAAUAUAUAAAGUAAAAAGAUCUUUCUCUCACACUGUCUCCACCUCUCCUGGUCUCACCGUUGUGCUUAGGGGAAACCAUUGUGAUUAGUUUCUCCUGUGUCCUUCCAGAGUGUCUUUAUGCAAAUGAAAAUUAUUGUGAUAAUAUAUUCCUAUUUUCCCCCUUACUACACAAAAGAUAGACUACCAUAAUCCCAUUCUGCACUUUUUUUUCACUUGAUAAUAAAAACAUGAUUUUAUUAA